AUUGAACGCUGGCGGCAGGCUUAACACAUGCAAGUCGAGCGGAGAUGAGGUGCUUGCACCUUAUCUUAGCGGCGGACGGGUGAGUAAUGCUUAGGAAUCUGCCUAUUAGUGGGGGACAACAUUCCGAAAGGAAUGCUAAUACCGCAUACGUCCUACGGGAGAAAGCAGGGGAUCUUCGGACCUUGCGCUAAUAGAUGAGCCUAAGUCGGAUUAGCUAGUUGGUGGGGUAAAGGCCUACCAAGGCGACGAUCUGUAGCGGGUCUGAGAGGAUGAUCCGCAACACUGGGACUGAGACACGGCCCAGACUCCUACGGGAGGCAGCAGUGGGGAAUAUUGGACAAUGGGGGGAACCCUGAUCCAGCCAUGCCGCGUGUGUGAAGAAGGCCUUAUGGUUGUAAAGCACUUUAAGCGAGGAGGAGGCUACUGAGACUAAUACUCUUAGAUAGUGGACGUUACUCGCAGAAUAAGCACCGGCUAACUCUGUGCCAGCAGCCGCGGUAAGAC
rnacentral:rRNA from 1 species